rnacentral:rRNA from 1 species
UACAGAGGGCCCAAGCGUUGUUCGGAUUCACUGGGCGUAAAGGGCGCGUAGGCGGCCGGGUAAGUCUGCUGUGAAAUCCCGCAGCUCAACUGCGGAACUGCAUUGGAUACUAUCCGGCUAGAGGAAUGGAGGGGAGACUGGAAUUCUCGGUGUAGCAGUGAAAUGCGUAGAUAUCGAGAGGAACACCAGUGGCGAAGGCGAGUCUCUGGACAGAUCCUGACGCUGAGGCACGAAAGCCAGGGGAGCAAACGGG